AACUUUGAAGACCGAAGUGGAGAAUGGUUCCAUGUGAACAGCAGUUGGGCAUGGGUUAGUCGAUCCUAAGAGAUGAGGUAAUUCUGUAUGAAGGGUUCAAUCGAACCGUCCAUCGAAAGGGGAUCGGGUUAAAAUUCCCGAACUGGGAUUCGGCUGCGGGCGGCAACGCAAACGAGCCUGGCGACGCCGGCGGGAGCCCCGG
rnacentral:rRNA from 1 species